rnacentral:rRNA from 1 species
UACGUAGGUGACCAGCGUUGUCCGGAUUUACUGGGCGUAAAGAGCGCGCAGGCGGUCGUUCAAGUCGAGUGUGAAAGCCCCCGGCUCAACUGGGGAGGGUCACUCGAUACUGAUCGACUUGAAGGCAGGAGAGGGAAGCGGAAUUCCCGGUGUAGUGGUGAAAUGCGUAGAUAUCGGGAGGAACAUCAGUGGCGAAAGCGGCUUCCUGGACCAGCACCGACGUUCAGGCACGAAAGCGUGGGGAGCAAACAGG